AGUGUAUGUAAUUUAAAAAAAAUAUCAAGCUGUGACCAUGACACUAGGACCCUCAUACACC
rnacentral:tRNA from 1 species